CAGCCUACGAUUAUAAAUCAUAUCAAAGGACAUCAGAAUUUUGAGUGGAAUUCCAGUAUGACUCUGGUGUUUGUAGAUGAUCACUGAUUUCUGAGCCCAAAAUAAGUACAUUAUAUGAACGGCUAAUGCAUACAGCGAACUUAAUGAAAAGCAGUUAAUCAAUCGGAUUAUUUGUGGUCUCCCUCCUGCAUUGAAGUGGAACAUAUGGAGCAAAAACUGCCACUACAUUAUUGAAGAAUGCCUACAGAAAAAUCCUGCUGAGAGACCAUCUGCAAGGCGGCUCUUGUCACACUCUUUCAUCACAGCACAACUGGAAGAAAGGGAUGUAAAGAGAAAUAUUAUAAAACAUCUACCGAGAGCAAAACUUUGAAUCUGCAAGAACAAAAUGCUGAAGAAUAACAGAUCGACUUCCAUAAUCUGCAGAUGACCAGUGGAUGGAGAAUGAGAAACCACUUAACUGCCUAAAGAAAUUCUUCUUUGAUGGGUUAAAAACAGAUCCCAGGAACUACCUGGAAGAAAUAUGGAACCAGGGCAGCCAUCGGGGGAGGGACAGGGGCAGAACUGUUGGGGCCCCAGACGUUGUACGUCUACUGGGCCCCAGAAGCAAAUUAGGUAUCCGAUGGCAGCCCUCCAUGUUCACUUUUAAAUUAACUUUGAGUGUGAUGUAUACAGUGAUAUUCUGAGAUCAUU